rnacentral:rRNA from 1 species
AGAGUUUGAUCCUGGCUCAGCGGAUUGAACGCUGGCGGAAUGCUCUACACAUGCAAGUCGAGCGGCUACACCGGGAAUUCCAGUCUCGAGCGGCGCACUGGUAAGUAUUGCAGUCCCAACAUGUCCAUGUCCUGGGGUAUAGCCCGGCGAAAGCCGGAUUAAUAUCGCAUACGGCCGACAGGGGAAAGUGGGGGACCGCAAGGCCGCACGCUAUUGGGUUGGCCGAUGUCCGAUUAACUAGCUCGCGGGGUAAGACCCUACCAAGGUGAUUACCGGUAGCUGGUCUGAGACGAUGAUUAGCCACACUGGGACUGAGACACGGCCCAGAUUCUUCCGGUACCGUCAGCAGUGGGCGAUUUUCGACAAUGGGGGAAACGCUCAUCCAGCCAUUCCGCGUGAGUGAAGAAGGCCUUCGGGUUGUAGAGCUUUUUUGUCCGAAGCGAAACGGCGAGCCUGAACAUCGCUCGCUACUCACGGUACCGGAAGAAUAAGCACUGGCUAGCUACGUGCCAGCAGCCGCGGUAAUACGUAGGGUGCGAGCGUUAAUCAGAAUUUCCGGGCGUAAAGCGUGCGCAGGCGGUUUUGUAAGCCAGAUGUGAAAUUCCCGGGC